UGGGGAAUAUUGCACAAUGGGCGAAAGCCUGAUGCAGCGACGCCGCGUGAGGGACGAAGGUCUUCGGAUUGUAAACCUCUUUCAGCAGGGACGAAGCGAAAAUGACUGUACCUGCAGAAGAAGCACCGGCUAACUACGUGCCAGCAGCCGCGGUAAUACGUAGGGGGCGAGCGUUAUUCGGAAUUACUGGGUGUAAAGGGUAUGUAGGCGGCCCUUCAAGUCGCGUGUCAAAGUCCAGUGCUCAACGCUGGGUGUGCGCGCGAUACUGACAGUCUUUAGGGCUGGAGAGGUGAGCGGAAUUCCCGGUGUAGUGGUAAAACACGUAGAGAUCGGGAGGAACACCAGCGGCGCAGGCGGCUCACUAGACAGUUUCUGACGCUAAGAUACGAAAGCGUGGGGAGCAAACA
rnacentral:rRNA from 1 species